AGUCCACAUCGACGGGGAGGUUUGGCACCUCGAUGUCGGCUCAUCACAUCCUGGGGCUGUAGUAGGUCCAGAGGGUUGGGCUGUUCGCCGAUUAAUGUGGUACGCGAGCUGGGUUCAGAACGUCGGGAGGCAGUUCGGUCCCGCUCCGUCGCGGGCGUAGGAAAUUUGGGAAGACCGAUCCUUAGUACGAGAGGACCGGGAUGGACGUACCUCUGGUGUACCAGUUGUUCUGCCAAGGGCAUGGAUGGGUAGCUAUGUACGGAAUGGAUAAGCGCUGAAAGCAUCUAAGCGCGAAG
rnacentral:rRNA from 1 species